rnacentral:lncRNA from 1 species
AUGGCGCGGGUUUGCUUCGGUGGGGAACAGGAGGUACCGGGCCAGGGGGGCCGGGGGGGGGGGGGGCCGCAGCCAGCCCCAUCUCCGCUCUGCCCAGGCACCUCCCCUAAGGUGGUGGAGGCUCCGGGGUGCAGAGCCCCGCGCCGGGCGCCGGCAGCCUCAGAGGCCGUGGUGCUUGCGGGUCCCGGCGCUGGCGGCAUGGAGCAGCCGGUCCUUUUCGCGGAUCUCCUCGCGGAGCUGGGCCUCGGCCAGGCGCAGGCGGCGGAUGCUGCCCUUCAUCUCCUUCAUCUUCACCUCCAGCAGCGCGAUGAUGUCGCGCUGCUCGUUCAGCUUCCUCAGCAGCUCCUCCGACGUGGUGCCCGACGACAGCGAAUACGAGUGGUCCGGGGGGCCGCCCUCCAAUGUGUCUUCCUCCCCCGCCACCGCCGCCAGCGGGAGCAACCUCCCGUGGCUAGGCCCCGUGGUGGCCCCGGGCCCGAGCUCCACCUGCACCGUCAGGUCGAUAGGCUUCGCGUCCUCGGCCGCGCCCCCUACCUGGACCGCGGCAGCAGCGGGACCCUGCGCGGUGGUGGCAGGGCGAGGGCGGCGGGCACCCCGCUGCGCCUUGCGCUCGUUGACGCCGCGCAGCGGGAAGAUGGUGGGGACCCGCAUCAGGUAGGACUUGCGGCCGCCCUGGAAGUGCUCGCUGCAGACGCGGUGGCCCGUGGUGGGCUGGAAGGUGCUGAAACAGCCGCUGACGCCCGCCCGGGAGACGUUCUUCAGCCAGAGGCGCCGCAGCUCCUUGUCCUUGGGGAAGGUGUAGAAGUGCAGCGAUUUGUCGCGGUGCGAGUUGUUGUAGCAGCCCGGCACGCAGCAGGUGAAGCCCGGCAUGGCGGGACGGGGUGGAACGGACGCGGGGAAACCCCCGCCAAACUACAGCUCCCACAAGGCCAACCGCGAACUCUCACCUCCGGCCGACAUCGCCAACCGCAGCCUCACCGGAACUACGCGAACCAAAACGCAGCGACACCGCCGAGCCAGAAUUACCCGUCCCACACUACGCCUUCGCCAGGCUCCGCCUGCUUCCGUGAGGCACCUAGUCCGUUCGCUGGAGCGGCUGCUAAAGUGGUGGAUGGGGCCGGGGAGAGGACCACAUCUGACUGAAGAAAGAAGAAUGCUGGCAAAACCACUAGAGUGAGGAAGAGGUUGCUGAUGUUCCCUGAUUUAACGAUGACACACCACAGACUUCAAUCAAGAAAAUCAUCCACACCUGUAAGUAUCUGUCAUGCUUUAAGCCCAGCCGGAAACCUAGAACCAUGCAGCCGCUCACUCAAUCCCCCCCUUUACUCCCCCCACUCCCAGAGGGAUGGGGAGGAGAAUCUAAAGAAUGUGACUCCCACGGGUUGAGAUA